rnacentral:siRNA from 1 species
UCCGCUGUAGCACACCGG